rnacentral:rRNA from 1 species
UUAAAUUGAAGAGUUUGAUCAUGGCUCAGAUUGAACGCUGGUGGCAGGCCUAACACAUGCAAGUCGAACGGUAACAGGAAGCAGCUUGCUGCUUUGCUGACGAGUGGCGGAC